AUUGAACGCUGGCGGCAUGCUUUACACAUGCAAGUCGAACGGCAGCGCGGGCUUCGGCCUGGCGGCGAGUGGCGAACGGGUGAGUAAUGCAUCGGAACGUGCCCAGUAGUGGGGGAUAGCCCGGCGAAAGCCGGAUUAAUACCGCAUACGACCUGAGGGUGAAAGCGGGGGACCGAAAGGCCUCGCGCUAUUGGAGCGGCCGAUGUCGGAUUAGCUAGUUGGUGGGGUAAAGGCUUACCAAGGCGACGAUCCGUAGCUGGUCUGAGAGGACGACCAGCCACACUGGGACUGAAACACGGCCCAGACUCCUACGGGAGGCAGCAGUGGGGAAUUUUGGACAAUGGGGGCAACCCUGAUCCAGCCAUGCCGCGUGCGGGAAGAAGGCCUUCGGGUUGUAAACCGCUUUUGUUCGGGAAGAAAUCCUCUGGGCUAAUACCCCGGGGGGAUGACGUUACCGGAAGAAUAAGCACCGGCUAACUACGUG
rnacentral:rRNA from 1 species